rnacentral:rRNA from 1 species
GACGAACGCUGGCGGCGUGCUUAACACAUGCAAGUCGAACGGAAAGGCCCUGCUUUUGUGGGGUGCUCGAGUGGCGAACGGGUGAGUAACACGUGAGUAACCUGCCCUUGACUUUGGGAUAACUUCAGGAAACUGGGGCUAAUACCGGAUAAGAGCUCCUGCUGCAUGGUGGGGGUUGGAAAGUUUCGGCGGUUGGGGAUGGACUCGCGGCUUAUCAGCUUGUUGGUGGGGUAGUGGCUUACCAAGGCUUUGACGGGUAGCCGGCCUGAGAGGGUGACCGGCCACAUGGGGACUGAGAUACGGCCCAGACUCCUACGGGAGGCAGCAGUGGGGAAUAUUGCACAAUGGGCGGAAGCCUGAUGCAGCAACGCCGCGUGCGGGAUGACGGCCUUCGGGUUGUGAACCGCUUUCGCCUGUGACGAAGCGUGAGUGACGGUAAUGGGUAAAGAAGCACCGGCUAACUACGUG